AUACGGAGGGUCCAAGCGUUAUCCGGAAUCAUGGGGUUUAAGGGUCCGCAGGCGGUCAAUUAAGUCAGAGGUGAAAGCCCAUCGCUCAACGAUGGAACUGCCUUUGAUACUGGUUGACUUGAGUUAUACGGAAGUAGAUAGAAUAAGUAGUGUAGCGGUGAAAUGCAUAGAUAUUACUUAGAAUACCGAUUGCGAAGGCAGUCUACUACGUAUAUACUGACGCUGAGGGACGAAAGCGUGGGGAGCGAACAGGAUUAGAAACCCUUGUAGUCC
rnacentral:rRNA from 1 species